rnacentral:lncRNA from 1 species
GGGAUGGACGGCCAGAUUUACUCCCACUUUAAUCGCGAUCGGACGGUCCAAAUUAAAUCGUGAUGGACAGCUGAGAUUAAAAGGGGAAGGUUAUAAAUAACCUUACCCACACCCGACCCCAAACCCUAGCCGCCAGUACCCUCACUGGAGAAGAAGAACCAGUCGCCGGAGGGUUUUCUGACCGCCAAACGAGGUAAAUUUUCUCCCCUUGGCUCGUUUUUCGAUGCUGAAUCCGCUUAUGGCCAAAUCGAAGCCAAAACACUGCCAAAGUCCAGCGGCGGCGCCGCGACUUCCCUCAAUUUUUUGCCUCCGAUGAGGCCCUUUCCGAUUCCUGUUCGAUGUAAUUUUUACACCACUGUGAUCACCGUCCUUUUCUCUACAGGUUGACCAGAGCAAAACAUCAAAUCGCGACUCGCGCCGGAGAAGCCGCCGCACCCGAGAGCUCCGCCGCCGGUAAGUCUCAAUUUUUUGUGGUUUUUUGGCCCACCGAGGGCCCUAGGGUUGUUUUAUCGCAGGAACCAAUGCAAGUUUGGCCAAAUUUGGCCAAAAAUGGCCAACCCGAGGCGGAUUGCUGCCGUAGGUGGCGAUGCCGUCGUCAGAGCACGGCGAAGUCGCCGUACUGGAAUUUCGAUAUUUGCUAAAAAGGGGCCCUGGUUCUGAUUUGGGAUUUUUUGGGAUACGUACAGGUACCGGUAAUGCGUUUCAGUUUCCUGGAGAAAAUUCAGGAAAUUUAGGGACAGCCCGUAGGCGCAUUGUAAAUCCAAUUUCAGACUCCGAAACAAUUAAAGAUUUCUCACCCUAUUUCCUAUCAUGGUAUUAAAGCUCAAUAAAUAAUAAAACGGCAUUUCAUGAAUUAAUACAUGUGUAUAAUUAAUUAAGGUUACUAAUGGAGCCCGAACCUGAUGUAUUUUUCGGUCAGUUGUUGUUUGAUCUAUCUUUCAGUUUUAAAUGCAGUAUGGUAUUUGAUGUAUUUAUUUUAUGGUUUCGUAUACAUGAAUCAUGGUUUCUUUUAUUAUGGUUUGAAUUAUGGUGAACCCGAUGUUGUGUUGUUUUGUUUGGUGUUCAUUAUUAAUUUACGUGUUUGUGUAUGAUUGGAAAAUUGAGACCAAAGGAAAAUGGGAAAAAAAGUUAUGUGAAUUGAUAAAUGGAUAAUGUGGACAGCUUGACUAGAUAUCC